rnacentral:lncRNA from 1 species
UGUUCUUUGCUUGUCCCUACACUUUUACUAUCUGGUUGACACUGGGCGCCAAGCUACUUGGUGUAUUGUCAAUUCGGAUUGGACUGUAACCAUCUUGUCUUUGCUCAGACUUUAUUCACUUGGUUUGGAUACAGUUCUCAAAAGCAUGAACUUGCAUACUACUCUUUACAUGUUGUGGAGGGAGAGAAAUUCUCGUAGAUAUCAG